rnacentral:rRNA from 1 species
UGGGGGAUAUUGCACAAUGGGCGAAAGCCUGAUGCAGCGACGCCGCGUGGGGGAUGAAGGCCUUCGGGUUGUAAACUUCUUUUGCUCUGAACAAGGCAUGCUAAUGGGUGUGUUGAGUGUAGGGGUUGAUUAGCGCCGGCUAACUACGUGCCAGCAGCCGCGGUAAUACGUAGGGCGCGAGGGUUGUCCGGAAUUAUUGGGCGUAAAGGGCUUGUAGGUGGCUGGUUGCGUCUGUCGUGAAAGCUCAUGGCUUAACUGUGGGUUUGCGGUGGGUACGGGCUGGCUUGAGUGCAGUAGGGGAGGCUGGAAUUCCAGGUGUAGCGGUGGAAUGCGCAGAUAUCAGGAGGAAUACCGGUGGCGAAGGCGGGUCGCUGGGCUGUUACUGACACUGAGGAGCGAAAGCAUGGGGAGCGAACAGG